rnacentral:misc_RNA from 1 species
UCUCCGUAGGUGAACCUGCGGAGGGAUCAUUACUGAGUAAUAGCCCUCAGAGUCCAUCCUCCCACCCGAGUUUAGUUAACCUUGUUGCUCCGGUCAGCCCGCCUCCCGGCCGCCGUUAGGCGUCUCCCCCCUGGCACGCGCCCGCCCAACACACUGUUGUACUCGAACUGAAAUUUCCUUCCAGAGCGAAACCCAUAUCAGCAAAAACUUUCAACAACGCAUCACUUGGUUCGGGCAUCCAUCAAAAACGCAGCCAAUCCAAAGAACACACUUCUGCAC